UCGGGAUAGCUCGGUUGGUAGAGCAGAGGACUGAAAAUCCUCGUGACCAGUUCAAAUCUGGUUCCUGAACGGUC
rnacentral:tRNA from 1 species